rnacentral:rRNA from 1 species
AUUGAACGCUGGCGGCAGGCCUAACACAUGCAAGUCGGACGGUAGCACAGAGGAGCUUGCUCCUUGGGUGACGAGUGGCGGACGGGUGAGUAAUGUCUGGGGAUCUGCCCGAUAGAGGGGGAUAACCACUGGAAACGGUGGCGAAUACCGCAUAACGUCGCAAGACCAAAGAGGGGGACCUUCGGGCCUCUCACUAUCGGACGAACCCAGAUGGGAUCAGCUAGUAGGCGGGGUAAUGGCCCACCUAGGCGACGAUCCCUAGCUGGUCUGAGAGGAUGACCAGCCACACUGGAACUGAGACACGGUCCAGACUCCUACGGGAGGCAGCAGUGGGGAAUAUUGCACAAUGGGCGCAAGCCUGAUGCAGCCAUGCCGCGUGUAUGAAGAAGGCCUUCGGGUUGUAAAGUACUUUCAGCGGGGAGGAAGGCGGUGAGGUUAAUAACCUCGCCGAUUGACGUUACCCGCAGAAGAAGCACCGGCUAACUCCGUGCCAGCCGCCGCCGUAA